rnacentral:tRNA from 1 species
ACCCAGCUGGCUCAGUUGGAGGAGCGUGUGACUCCUGAUCUCAGGGUCUUGAGUUCAAGCCUCAUGUUGGGUG